UACGUGGGGCCGAGCGUUGUCCGGAGUUACUGGGCGUAAAGGGCGCGCAGGCGGCGGCGUGGGUCCGGCGUGAAAGCCCCCGGCUCAACCGGGGAACGUCGUCGGGGACCGCGCCGCUUGAGGGCGGCAGGGGCCGGUGGAAUGCCUGGCGUAGUGGUGAAAUGCGUAGAGAUCAGGCGGAACACCCGUGGCGAAGGCGGCCGGCUGGGCCGUCCCUGACGGCUGAGGCGCGAAGGCGGUGGGGAGCGAACGGG
rnacentral:rRNA from 1 species